GACAGAGGUGGCGACCGUUGUUCGGAAUCACUGGGCAUAAAGCGCGUGUAGGCGGCAUUGUAAGUCGGGUGUGAAAUCCCUCGGCCUAACCGAGGAAUUGCGCCCGAAACUACCUUGCUUGAGGAUGGGAGGGGAGCCUGGAAUUCCUGGUGGAGCGGUGAAAUGCGUUGAUAUCAGGAGGAACACCGGCGGCGAAGGCGAGGCUCUGGCCCAUUACUGACGCUGAGACGCGAAAGCUAGGGGAGCAAACGGGAUUAGAAACCCCAGUAGUCC
rnacentral:rRNA from 1 species